rnacentral:rRNA from 1 species
AGUGAACGCUGGCGGCGUGCUUAACACAUGCAAGUCGAACGAGAACGGAUUAUAGCUUGCUAUAAUUGUCAGCUAAGUGGCGCACGGGUGAGUAAUGUAUAGGUAAUAUGCCUCUUACUAAGGGAUAACAAUUGGAAACGAUUGCUAAUACCUUAUAUUCCUUUUUAUCAAAAGAUAAAAAGGGAAAGAUUUAUUGGUAAGAGAUUAGCCUGUAUUGUAUCAGUUAGUUGGUGGGGUAAUGGCCUACCAAGACGAUGACGCAUAACUGGUUUGAGAGGAUGAUCAGUCACACUGGAACUGAGACACGGUCCAGACUCCUACGGGAGGCAGCAGUGGGGAAUAUUGCACAAUGGACGAAAGUCUGAUGCAGCAACGCCGCGUGGAGGAUGACACAUUUCGGUGCGUAAACUCCUUUUAUAUGAGAAGAUAAUGACGGUAUUAUAUGAAUAAGCACCGGCUAACUCUGUGCCAGCAGCCGCAGUAA